AGGAUUAACGCUGGCGGCGUGCCUAACACAUGCAAGUCGAACGAGGUAGCAAUACCUAGUGGCAGACGGGUGAGUAACGCGUGGUCAACCUACCGUUGAGUGGGGGAUAACUAGCCGAAAGGUUAGCUAAUACCGCAUACGAGUCUCGGGGGCAUCCCUGGGUCUUAAAAGGAGCAAUCCGCUCGAUGACGGGACCGCGUCCCAUUAGCUAGAUGGUGGGGUAAUGGCCUACCAUGGCUCCGAUGGGUAGCUGGUUUGAGAGAGCGACCAGCCACACUGGGACUGAGAAACGGCCCAGACUCCUACGGGAGGCAGCAGUGAGGAAUUUUCCGCAAUGGGCGAAAGCCUGACGGAGCGACGCCGCGUGUGGGAAGAAGGCCUUCGGGUCGUAAACCACUGUCGAAGGGGACGAUAAUGACGGUACCCUUGGAGGAAGCCCCGGCUAACUACGUGCCAGCAGCCGC
rnacentral:rRNA from 1 species